rnacentral:sRNA from 1 species
CUAUAGCCCCGAUGGGAGGGAAAAUCCUUUUUUUAUAGCCAACUGGUUAAAGAAACCAGUUGGCUAUAAAAAAAGAUUGGAAGGACAGCGGGAAACUUG